ACGGAAACCGUUUUAACGGUUGCCAGUUUUUCAAGUUCUGGAGAAGUUUGAGGAAGUUAACUGCUGUUAACGGACCAAUGCAGACAGGGCAACAGGACGUGUAUGGAGCCAUGUGGGCAUUCACAAGCUGGAUGGAGACAGUCACACUGCAGCCUUGACAACCACAAUAUACUUGACCAAAAUCUGGAUGAAACCUUUACCUUUACACAUCAGCCAUGCCCCUCCACAAUCACAUGGUGAAAGAGGCCUGGACACAGGACAGGAUUCAAGAGGAUGAGGAUUCUGCUUCAGACCCACAGCUGCAAGUUCAGAAGCUGAAGAAGAAGAAAGAUGAGACAAAUGGUGCAACAGAAGCUAAACUGAAUGCAAAAGAGGCCAAGCCCAAAAAAACAAAGACUAAGAAAAGUGAAGAUGUAUCUGAAGAGGAAGGUACUGCCAUCCAAAAUGGAAAGAAGGUGAAGAAAAAGAAACCAGAAAAAGAUAAAGAAGACCCAGAAAAGGAAAAAGAGCCAAAAAAGAAAGUUAAAAGUGUUCCAAAAAAGAAGAAAGCAAGUUCAGGCACAGAUAACGACGACGUUGAUGACGAUGAUGAAGACAACCCCAAAAAGAAGACGAAGAAAAAGACAACAAAGGACAGCUCUCCAUCUGAAACCACUGCCAAAGAAAAGAAAUCUAAAUCCAAAGAAGACAAAGAUUCUGAUGGAAAAGAAAAGAAGUCCAAGUCGAAGGAGAAAGACAAGAAGAAAGAGCCAGCUUCAAUGUUCCAGAUAAACGGAGAAAAAGACUCAAAAAGCAAAAAGAAAGCUGCCAAAUCAGACAGUGAUGAGAGUGAAGAGGAGACAAAGUCGACCAAAUCAAAGAAGAAAUCCACCACCAGCUCCGCAUCCAUGUUCCAAACAUCAGGAGACAAAAACAAAGACAAAGAUAAAGACAAAGACAAAGACAAAGACAAGGACAAGAAGACAAAGAAGAAGGCAAAGGCAGAAGAGAGCGAUGAGUCCGACUCGGAAAAAGAAGAAAAAACAAAGAAGAAAAAAGGCAAAGGGAAGAAGAAAAAGGACAGACCUCCAUCACCUGAGAUUGAGUUUGAUAACUUGGAGAAGUUUGUGAUGGAGCCGGCUCCGCAGGGCACGACCAUCAAAUGCAGAGUGACUCGAGACCAGAGAGGGAUGGACAAGAGCCUCUACCCGACGUAUUACAUUCACCUCGACAACGAAAAGAAGACAUUCCUGUUGGCUGGGAGGAAAAGGAAGAAAUGUGCAACUUCAAAUUACCUCAUCUCCAUUGAUGCCACAGAUUUAUCGAGAGGUGGAGAGAAUUUUGUUGGAAAGCUGAGGUCCAAUUUAAUGGGGACUAAGUUCACCGUAUUUGACAACGCUCUGAAUCCAGAUAGGGCUCUUCCAGACAUGUCGAAUGCACGGCAGGAGCUAGCAGGCAUCAUUUAUGAAACAAAUGUGUUAGGCAUGAAAGGACCCAGAAGGAUGACGGUUGUCAUUCCAGGAAUGGACAAGGACAACGAGCGAGUUCCUCUCCGACCAAGAAAUGAAUGUGACGGCUUGUUGAUAAGGCACCAGAAUAGAAGGACGGAAAAUCUGAUCGAGCUUCACAACAAGACGCCUGUGUGGAACGAAGAUAGUGCGUCUCAUGUGCUCAACUUCAACGGCAGGGUCACCCAGGCCUCCAUCAAGAACUUCCAGAUAGUCCAUAGCAAAGACUUUGCAGGUUUUGAGAGACACCCACGCUGUUCUGCUGUAGUUGUCUGACAUGUUGAGAGGAGAGCUUCGCUCCGGAUGGAAAAACCUGUUUGAGCCGAGGGCCUUGAGAGCGAGUAAGAGGUGUGUAUUCUGCCUGAACCUGCUCAGGCAGUUGUCCAAACUCGCAGAUUAAAUGAAGCCUGAAGCUGGCAGCUCUUCUGGACAGAUGCUGUAAACAGCUGUGCUUUAGUGUCUCAGUGUUGGAUGAAUACAUAACCUACUGUUCACAUGUUGCAACCAUGCUGUUGACCAACAGAAGGAGCUGUUGCAGGACAGACGCGUGUUCAAGGUCUAACUUCAUAUUGUUUACAGUGAUGUGAUCAUUGAAAGACUUUUACCUCAUAAAUUAGUUCUAAGAGAUGGAAAAAAGCAGCACUAAACUCAUUUUUUUUCUUUUGAAUUAUUUAGUGAAACAAUUAUUGUCUAUUUGCAUACACAGUGUAUUUAAGUGUUGUACUUAUAGGAGCAGUCUGAUAAUAUCUGAUUGGCUGAUCUUUUUUAAUUUACUGCAUUUUUUUUUUUUUUUUACCUCAGCUGGUAAAUAACUAAUUGUAUUCAUCCAACUACAGUUUUGAUUUGCUAUUUAAAAAAGCAAACCAUGCUGUGUUAAGUGUAUAAUUAUAACGGGCUACACAAAUACCACAGCAAAAUUAAAAUAAAUACAGCAUAAUUAAUAAUUAUAUUAAAUUGAAUAAUGCUACAGUGAACUCAGGAGUCAUAUGGACACAGUCCUAGAAAAUGUAUUCAAAUGGGUAUCACUGCUCUAAUAGAGAAAUAAAAGUCUGGCAAUUCUGCUUGUGUAAAAUACCUAUUACAAUGUACAUCAGUAGCAGAGGUGAGUCACCUUUGUGAUGUGUAAUUAUUAAAAUAUUUAAGCAGUCAUAAUGACACUUCUGGUUCUGACUUCUCUA